GGGGGGGGGGGGGGGUUCCUCACCUUCUUCGUAUCCAUUGAAGAGGAUUUCUGUAUUUGAAAGUUGCCCAAAUCAAAUGUCGAGUCCGAAGAACCCUAUCCUGACGGCUCCCACCAUUUUUGACAGGAUACUUUUGAGUUUCUUACAUGUAUCGUUUCUAAUCCUAAACAGCGUCGGAGCAUCUCAACAGAGGAACCUGUCGGAAUUAUAACCCUGACACUAAUCUCAAGAGAGGAACCUAUCGAAAUUAUAACCCUGAAACUAAUCCAAUCUCCAUUUUUUUAUGUUUAUGUUCUGGUGGUUGACGAAUCUUCGCCAUUUAAGGAAGUUCUUCAACUAGAUUUACCCAUGACCAUGUCUAUGUAUAACCUUUCACCAAAUGCAGAGAUUCUUUUCAAUAAAACAGGGGAAUGGUUGUUGUUCUAGGAGUGGAAGAGUUUACAUGUGUAAAGCACAAGAUGUUUCCUGAUUCUCUCAAGUGUUCUUGCUAAAGGUUUGAUAAUUAGGCAAGAUUCUUUAUAUAAAGCUAAAGCAUUCGAUGAAAAAGAUCAAUCAAGAGCCGAUGCAUCUGCUACAUAGAUCUCCUUACCCUUACCAUGCUCUAUCUUCACUGUUCAAUAUCACUGGUCCUCAUAUAAUUACAUGUUGUUCUACAAAAUGUUUAGUUUGAUUUUUCUUUGUUGUGAAUUGGUUUCUUUAUCUGUUGCGUUUUACUAAACUUUAUUGGUAGCUUUAGACUGGUGCAAUUUUUACUUCAGAUCAACACAUGUGGUUUAAUCUGCUCUUUCGUUUGGUCUAGGCUUAUAAUGUUUUGACUAUUAAAAAACACAAUGGGUGGUUAGCGGCAAGGGAGGACAUACUUAUGAGGGAAUGAGGAUUAAAAGAUCACGACUUAAUGGGGAAAACAUAUCAUUUCCCAAAAUUUCUUGAUUCCUUGUGUCUUGUGAUGGGGAAGAUAGUGUUAAAUGGAGCUAUAUCAAUUCAUUAAAAGAGGUUGCAUAUAUAAUUCAUGGAAGCAGUAAAAAUGUUAUGAACAUGUCACAACCUGAUCAGGUUGAAUCAUGGCGCUCUGUUAUGAAUGGUAAACUGGAGACAUAUUAUAUAUUUAUUAUAUUUUUUUUCUUUUUUUCAAACUUUUCAAAUUUACCAGUAUAUACCAACAGGGGUCCCUUUUGAUCUUCUUUGUGCUGAACUGAAAGACCUUGGAAUUUCACAGUAACAUCAAUGUUCAUAAUGUUGUUUUUUUUAAUUUGGUUAACUUUAUACAUUUUUUUAUAUAAUCGCAGCAUUUUCAGGUACAUUUUAGAGGAUACCCAGGAAACAUAUUGAUUCCUUGUGAUGGGGAAGAUAGUGUUAAAUGGAGCUCUGUUAUGAAUGGUAUGCUGAUAAAUAUUUUCAGAUUUUGAAUACUUUAAUAAGCAAAAAGUGAAACUUUCCGAUUUUACCCCUGGUUUCUUGCUGCAACUUUUGCUGUUGGGUUGAAGAAGCUUGGAACAAUUCAAGUUCAAGAAAUUCCCUUUUUUGACGCUGUGAAGAUAACAUGUGCUGAUUCCAGUGUAAUAGUUGAAGAAGCUGAUAAACAUUAGAUGAAUCUUCGUAUUGUAGACAAAAACACUGUAAGUAUGUUUUUAUGUUACCAAAAAACUACAUAAGGUACUUCUUUUUAAUAAUUCACCUUCACCUUUAAACCAGUAAUCGAACUUUCAUCUGAUUUGAUUUCAUGUACCAUGAAUAAGAAGAUGAAGGAGAAUGAUGGAAAGAAGGUAAAUUGAUGUUUCCAUGCUUCUACCUAAUUUUGGCCCUAAUUGAUUGAAUUGCCCAAUUUGCUUUGUUCUUUAUAUUCUUCAUCUCUUUCUGUUACAUGCUAGAUAGAGUUUUUUUUCAAUUUUUUUGUGGAUUAUAGUUGUAAAUAUUUUAUGUUAUUAGGUUUGCUUUUGACUAUAAUUGAAUGUUUUAAUUUCUUUUCUCACACUCAAAAAGUGUUUAUGCAUCUAGCUUGAUAAUAUAUGGUACACCUUGAGAAAAGAUUGAAUAUCUAAUUCUUCAUCUUCUAGAUAUGAAAUAAUGAAUCACAGAAACCAAUUCCUCUUCUCACUAUUGGCUAUCAUGUAAUAAAAUUACAUAUAUACCCUUUUGUUCUAAGCAUUACUUGCUUAACUAAAUUCAGAGUGUGAAAAAUGUGCAUAUACCUGUAGCUUGACAAAAUACGGUACACCUUCAUGUUUAUACUUUUUUCUUAUUUGACCAAAUUUAUCAAAUGUUGUUUAUCUUUUAUAAAUUGCAGGUCUGUGUCAUUGAAAUUGUCACCCAUAUAGCUUCUAUUGUUCUACAACAUCAAAGUUCCAAAAAAAUGUGUUGUACUUUGCAUAGCACGUAAAAAGAUCACAAAAUUUAUAAAAAAUCAUGGCUUUAUGAAAUUAUUUCACAUUUGAACUUUACCUUUACUCGGUCACAAAAAUUUGUGAAAGAGUGGCUAAUAUUAAAACUUGAGUUCAAGCCAUGAAAUGUCUAACCACUUUCUCAGAGGGUGUGGGCCCAACUUUUAUCUUUGAAAGGAUGUUCUAGAUAAUGAAAGAGCACAAGAACUUUCCAGUUUCAAGAUUUUGUUUUAUCUUUUACUUCCAUUACCAUGUUCAACAAUGUUAGGCUUAGUGAAGAGUUGCAUUCGCACAAAAUUCACAAGUGAAUUUGGGUAUCUAAUUACAGUGCUAGCAAGGAUCUUUUAGAUCAAGUGGAGAGAAGUUUAUAGGGGGCGGCUGCAUGGGUUGCAACCAUCGCUUCAGUGAAAGUGGCAACUUUUGUUGUCCUUACCAUGUUUACAAACUAUUGACUACAAAAACAUUUCAAUUGAGAGAUAAAGCCAUGUUAGCAAAGAAAGAUUUGUCAUCCUUCUUAUGGGAAAGUAUCGCUCAAAACCAAUCUAAAUCCUCCUCUUCAUCAUUUCCUAAUAGGAAUGGAUAAUUUUUGGGGUUUCUGAUUGUGAUGGAAGUAUAUGUAGGAUUAUGGCUGUUUAUGAUGGUGAUGGAUGUAAAGAAUAGGGGAUGAAUGCUAAAGGGGUUCCAGUUGAGGAUGAAGCAGGGAGAUCUGAGAAGCAAACUACCAGAUUCAAUGGAAAACCACAAUUGUUGAAAGGAAAGCGGAAAAGAUGGAGUGAAGAAGAAGAAAAAAGAUAUGCUUAGGGUAUGUUGUGAAAUGAAAAUUCAAUGUAAAAUCACAAUUAUCAAAAUACUCAUUGGAGGUGUACUAGUUUUUGAACUUCUUCAAACUUUGACAGUUUUUAUUUCUUUUAGCCUACAGUUUUGUAACUAUACUUGAGCACUAAAUAUUGCAUCAUAAGUUAUAUAAGUAUUUCUACCACAUUA